rnacentral:rRNA from 1 species
AACGCUGGCGGCAUGCUUUACACAUGCAAGUCGAACGGGCUUGGGGGCUUGCUCCCAAGUUAGUGGCGAACGGGUGAGUAAUACAUCGGAACGUACCGUGUAGUGGGGGAUAACGUAGCGAAAGUUACGCUAAUACCGCAUACGAUCUACGGAUGAAAGCAGGGGGACCUUCGGGGCCUUGUGCUAUACGAGCGGCCGAUGUCUGAUUAGCUAGUUGGUGAGGUAAAGGCUCACCAAGGCGACGAUCAGUAGCGGGUCUGAGAGGAUGAUCCGCCACACUGGGACUGAGACACGGCCCAGACUCCUACGGGAGGCAGCAGUGGGGAAUUUUGGACAAUGGGCGAAAGCCUGAUCCAGCCAUGCCGCGUGUCUGAAGAAGGCCUUCGGGUUGUAAAGGACUUUUGUCAGGGAGCAAAACUUACUGGUUAAUACCCGGUGAGGCUGAGAGUACCUGAAGAAUAAGCACCGGCUAACUACGUGCCAGCAGCCGCGGUAAUACGUAGGGUGCAAGCGUUAAUCGGAAUUACUGG